rnacentral:rRNA from 1 species
ACAUGCAAGCAUCUCAACACGCUGGGCGCCAAGGCCGUGCUGGCCUUCUCGACCAUGGUGCCGCUCUCGGAGAUCGCCUUCGCCGUCCUGCUCCUCCCCUACCUUCUCCUGGCCACGCUCGCCUUCCCGCAGCGCCCCGGGAAGCCCAACCCGUCCUUGCCCGUCUUCCUCGGCCUCGCGCGCCUCCUCCUCGCCGCGCACACCGUGGGCGGGUUCCUCGUUGGUGCCGCACUCCCGGCGCUCUACGUACUUGACGGCCUCCGGUCCGGGGACACCACGGGGAUCGCCGCCGCAGCCCCGCAUGCGUUCCUGCUCUCCGCGCAGGUCUUCAUUGAGGGGCUCACCACCGCGGUCCCGUGGCGGUUCUCGCUCCCCGUCAGGGCUACCGUACCGGUCAUGUACAGCGCGCGCAGGAUGUUCGUGGCAGGGGAGUGGCUCCGGCAGGAGAUGGAGGGGGUGACUACGGCGACGGGAAGGGAAGGGGCGGAGCGGCAGGAGGCUGGGCGGGUCGAGGAGUUCCCCUGUGGCGGCGGCGGCAGCGUAGGAAACCUAGUGCAUGCGAGGGUAAUCGAGGAGAAGAGCUGCUCGCACGAUUGUUUAGAGAGUUUUUUCUCUCUGGAGGGUGAGAAUCGGUGGAACCGGAGUGAGGGGUGGAAGGUGGGGGAUGAAAAAAACCAGCGAAAAUAA